GAAAAGAAACUAACUAGGAUUCCCUUAGUAACGGCGAGUGAACCGGGAUGAGCUCAAAUUUAAAAUCUGGCGUCUUUCAGGCGUCCGAGUUGUAAUCUAUAGAGGCGUUUUCCGCGCCGGACCGCGUCCAAGUCUCUUGGAAUAGAGUAUCAAAGAGGGUGACAAUCCCGUACUUGACGCGACAACCGGUGCUCUGUGAUACGUUCUCAAUGAGUCGAGUUGUUUGGGAAUGCAGCUCUAAAUGGGUGGUAAAUUCCAUCUAAGGCUAAAUAUUGGCGAGAGACCGAUAGCGAACAAGUACCGUGAGGGAAAGAUGAAAAGCACUUUGGAAAGAGAGUUAAACAGCACGUGAAAUUGUUAAAAGGGAAACGAUUGAAGUCAGUCGUGUGAAAGGUAUUCAGCCGUCUCUGGCGGUGUAUUUGCCUUUCACGGGUCAACAUCAGUUUGAUCCGGUAGAAAAAGGCGGGAGGAAGGUGGCACCCUCGGGUGUGUUAUAGCCUCCUGUCAUAUGUGCCGGACCAGACUGAGGAACGCAGCUUGCCGCAAGGCCGGGGUUCGCCCACGUACAAGCUUAGGAUGU
rnacentral:rRNA from 1 species